AUUGAACGCUGGCGGCAUGCCUUACACAUGCAAGUCGAACGGUAACGGGCCUUCGGGUGCCGACGAGUGGCAAACGGGUGAGUAAUAUAUCGGAACGUACCUUUCAGUGGGGGAUAACGUAGCGAAAGUUACGCUAAUACCGCAUAUUCUGUGCGCAGGAAAGCAGGGGACCUUCGGGCCUUGCGCUGAUUGAGCGGCCGAUAUCAGAUUAGCUAGUUGGUGGGGUAAAGGCUCACCAAGGCGACGAUCUGUAGCGGGUCUGAGAGGAUGAUCCGACAAACUGGGACUGAGCCACGGUCCAGACUCCUACGGGAGGCAGCAGUCGGGAAUUUUGGACAAUGGGGGCAACCCUGAUCCAGCCAUGCCGCGUGAGUGAAGAAGGCCUUCGGGUUGUAAAGCUCUUUCGGCCGGGAAGAAAUCGUAUGGGCUAAUACCCUGUGCGGAUGACGGUACCGGCAUAAGAAGCACCGGCUAACUACGUGCCAGCAGCCGCAGUAAGAC
rnacentral:rRNA from 1 species